rnacentral:lncRNA from 1 species
AAAUUUGCAGAUCGAUGGGGUAUGUAAAUGCAUGAAACUGAGAAGAGAUAAGCUUCUUCAGGCUCGGGAGGUUUGUGGCAAUGUAAUCUCUUCCACCAAAGGAAAAUUGAACUUUCAAAUGGAAUACCAAAAGAGACAAGCAUCACAUCCUUUGGUAAUAGUUCUCUUUCUUUCCUUAAUCUACCUAUCGCUAUUUUUACAUCUUAGCCAAGUUACAUUAAGCCCCCGUUUAGCCCCCAUUCUUUCCAAUUUUAAUGGUUGGAAUAGUGCUUUUGAAAAAUAUGUGGUUGAAAAAGAAUGAAAAAGUUUUUGAUUUGUGUGUAAUAUUUUUUUAUGAAAGAUUGUGUGGUUGAAAAUAAGAGAGAGAAAAAGAAUGAGAAGGAGAAUGGGGAUCAAAUGGGGGCUAAGUUUGUAGUUUUUUAUGGUCCAAUAUUAGUCUGCAUAUCCUUCACAACCCAUUAUCGCACACAUUCUCUGAAUACAUCUUCCCAUUUCAGCAUCAAUUUAUAUCUCAGUUACAAAUUAAACCCCUGUUUGACAACUAUCAUUUGGAUAAAAUGGAGUUUUGAAUAGUGGUUUUUUGGAAAAUGCGUGGUUAAAAAAUAGGGAAAAAUUUUGAGUAUGCGUGCAGAAUAUUUAUUGAGAUUUGCUAGAAAUGAUAAGUGGCAUUAGUCAUAUUUAUUUGUGUGAAUGUGUGGUUGAAAAUAAAUAUGUAGAAAAAAAGUUUUGAAAUAAUGCUUGUCAAACAGGGGCUAAAUUGGUUUGGACACACUGGAUUUUAGGUGCCGUCAUUGUGGUGUAAUCAGUGUUUAUGAUAUUUGCUGCAAGAGUGGGAGUCAGGGAAUGGGAGUGUGGUGAAAUGAAAUCUGAUUUUCUCUAUAACGAAACUUAAAUUGAGCUUCAAUUAAAUUUCAAGAAUUUUGUUAAGCCCAUGAAACUUCAUUAUAGAGUUUAUCAAAAUAGAAUGAACAUUAAUUUGUGCAAUAAAAGAAAAUAAGACAUUCAGUUGGGAUUGAAAAGAACAUAUUGACCAUAGUUAGGUUAAACUAAAAAAAUCUAACCCUCCUAACAUCAAGGGUAAAAAUAGGAUCUAAAUAUCGAUCAAUCUAUACAGCUUAUUUACAGUAACAAUAAUGUCUACUCUUCCAAAUAGUCAUUGGAUUUCCUUGAUGUGAAUCUCCUCUAUCUGAGCUCAUAACAUUGAUCUUAUUGAAACUUUGCUUUUCGACAUGUUCCUUGAGCUUAUUAAAAGCACUAAGGGCCCGUUUGGGAUG